UGGGGAAUAUUGCACAAUGGGCGCAAGCCUGAUGCAGCCAUGCCGCGUGUGUGAAGAAGGCCUUCGGGUUGUAAAGCACUUUCAGCGGGGAGGAAGGCGAUAAGGUUAAUAACCUUGUCGAUUGACGUUACCCGCAGAAGAAGCACCGGCUAACUCCGUGCCAGCAGCCGCGGUAAUACGGAGGGUGCAAGCGUUAAUCGGAAUUACUGGGCGUAAAGCGAACGCAGGCGGUCUGUCAAGUCGGAUGUGAAAUCCCCGGGCUCAACCUGGGAACUGCAUUCGAAACUGGCAGGCUAGAGUCUUGUAGAGGGGGGUAGAAUUCCAGGUGUAGCGGUGAAAUGCGUAGAGAUCUGGAGGAAUACCGGUGGCGAAGGCGGCCCCCUGGACAAAGACUGACGCUCAGGUGCGAAAGCGUGGGGAGCAAACAGG
rnacentral:rRNA from 1 species